GAAAAAGUUCAUUGUUAUAUAUUAAACCAAACAAAUCAUGGAUAACUGAAUCAUCAAAAGAAUGGAGGCAAAUCACAAACUUUUUUAGAAGGGAAAAGGAAAAAACUCUAACAGUAUUCAUAUCAAAUCGAUUCUGCAACUUUCUAAAGAUGGUUCACUGCUUUAAGUAGAUUAGUUGGUAACAAGUACUCGUCGAUCAAACCAAACAAACAGGCAUAAAGAGGAAAGACAUCAGCUUUAUCCCUUGUUGAUCUAAACUAUCAAAGCCAACCAAGAAAGGGAUUAUUCGGCAAUACACAGUAACGUACAAAUAUAUGAACCAUAUGUAGGACAAUUAUAAGACCGAACCCGGAAAUCAAAUGAUAUAAUCUGACCACUCUGAGAUGAAAGAAGUAUGAUCCAUUGAUUCUCCAGGAAAUUCCUCAUGUUUAACUGGGGUUUCUUUUCCUCCCACCAACCUUGCAG
rnacentral:misc_RNA from 1 species